GAUGAACGCUAGCUACAGGCUUAACACAUGCAAGUCGAGGGGCAUCAUGCGGUGUGCUUGCACACCGUGAUGGCGACCGGCGCACGGGUGAGUAACGCGUAUCCAACCUUCCCCUUGCCGCGGGCCAGCCCACCGAAAGGUGGAUUAAUCCCGCAUGAGGCGCUGUGACGGCAUCAGAGCCGCGCCAAAGGUAUUCUCCGGCAAGGGAUGGGGAUGCGUCCGAUUAGCCAGGCGGCGGGGCAACGGCCCACCGCGGCGACGAUCGGUAGGGGUCCUGAGAGGGAGGCCCCCCACACUGGGACUGAGACACGGCCCAGACUCCUACGGGAGGCAGCAGUGAGGAAUAUUGGUCAAUGGGCGGAAGCCUGAACCAGCCAAGUAGCGUGAGGGACGACGGCCCUAUGGGUUGUAAACCUCUUUUGUGCGGGGACAAAGCGGCCUACGGGUAGGCCUUUGCGGGUACCGCACGAAUAAGGACCGGCUAAUUCCGUGCCAGCAGCCGCGGUAAUACGGAAGGUCCGGGCGUUAUCCGGAAUCAUUGGGUUUAAAGGGAGCGUAGGCGGCCUUUCAAGCGUGCCGUGAAAUGUCCGGGCUCAACCCGGUCAGUGCGGCGCGAACUGGAUGGCUUGAGUUCCCGCGAGGCAGGCGGAAUUCGUGGUGUAGCGGUGAAAUGCUUAGAUAUCACGAGGAACCCCGAUUGCGAAGGCAGCCUGCCAGCGGUGGACUGACGCUGAUGCUCGAAGGCGCGGGUAUCGAACAGGAUUAGAUACCCUGGUAGUCCGCGCGGUAAACGAUGGAUGCCCGCCCUGCGGCCGUUUUUGGUUGCGGGGCCAAGCGAAAGCGUUAAGCAUCCCACCUGGGGAGUACGCCGGCAACGGUGAAACUCAAAGGAAUUGACGGGGGCCCGCACAAGCGGAGGAACAUGUGGUUUAAUUCGAUGAUACGCGAGGAACCUUACCCGGGCUUGAACUGCGGACGGAUGAUCCAGAGAUGGUGAAGCCCUUUCGGGGCGUCCGCGGAGGUGCUGCAUGGUUGUCGUCAGCUCGUGCCGUGAGGUGUCGGCUCAAGUGCCAUAACGAGCGCAACCCCCUCCCGCAGUUGCCAUCGCGUCGUGGCGGGCACUCUGCGGGCACUGCCGCCGCAAGGUGCGAGGAAGGCGGGGAUGACGUCAAAUCAGCACGGCCCUUACGUCCGGGGCCACACACGUGUUACAAUGGGGCGCACAGAGGGAUGGGGCUGCGCAAGCAGUCCCGGAUCGCGAAACCGCCCCCCAGUUCGGACUGGGGUCUGCAACCCGACCCCACGAAGCUGGAUUCGCUAGUAAUCGCGCAUCAGCCAUGGCGCGGUGAAUACGUUCCCGGGCCUUGUACACACCGCCCGUCAAGCCAUGAAAGCCGGGGGCGCCUGAAGUCCGUGACCGCGAGGGUCGGCCUAGGGCGAAACCGGUGAUUGGGGC
rnacentral:rRNA from 1 species